rnacentral:pre_miRNA from 1 species
CUGGUACUCCCUCCGUUCCGAAUUACUUGUCGCAGAUAUGGAUGUAUCUAGAUGUAUUUUAGUUCUAGAUACAUCCAUUUCUGCGACGAGUAAUUUGGAACGGAGGGAGUAUUUC